CUUUUCCAUCAGAGGCCAACAAGUGAGACUUCCCUGGAAGGGCAGAGACCCUCAAUGGAUUGGAUGAUGCCUACACACGUUGGCGAGAAGAAUCUACUUCACUAAGUUACCAAUUCUCAUCCUGAAACACCUUCACAGGUACACCCAGAAAUAAUGUUUAAUCUUGCCACCCUGUGAUCCAGUCAAAUCGAUACAUAAAAGUAACCAUCAGACUUGCCCUGGCCAGCUAGCCCAGUUGGUUAGAU